GGUUGAUCCUGCCAGUAGUCAUAUGCUUGUCUCAAAGAUUAAGCCAUGCAUGUCUCAGUGUAAACUUUUAAACAGUGAAACUGCGAAUGGCUCAUUAAAACAGUUAUAGUUUAUUUGAUAUUCAAAAUUUACAUGGAUAACCGUGGGAAUUCUAGGGCUAAUACAUGCGUACUCGCAAGAGUUGUGUUUAUUAGAAUAUAAACCAACACUGUAGCAAUACAGUAAAGUUGGAAUGAUAAUAACCGAUCGGAUCGCACGCUUUAUAGUGGCGACAGAUCAUUCAAGUUUCUGAU
rnacentral:rRNA from 1 species